GAAAUGUUUCCACUUUAAACCGGAGCUGAAUGCGCCGCGGAGGCCUUCGCUGCUUGUUCCUGGGAAGUGCCCAGCUGGGGACGUGUGGCUGCCCUGGACAAGCCCGGAGCAGCAGGGAUGUGGCCGAGCAUCCCUGGUGUGGGGAAGGGCAGAGGUACCGGCCACCACCCUGAGCAAGCAGCACUGAAACCCCAGGGCCACCUUUCACAUGGCAACGCAGCUGGUUUUCAAAUGCCUUUUUCUUUUGGGUGCGUGCAUCGCCUUUUGUUUGGUAGAUGAAGGGAUGUCUGUGCGCCAAAUAAAGGGGUUCUUCAGUUUAAUUAAAAAAAAAAAAAAGGAGGGGGGGAAGGGAAAGUAGACAUGGUGCCUUUUAAGCAACAAUUCCAAGGGCAGAGGGGUUACCCAAGGCCACCCAUCGCCAGCUGAAAGCCUGUGUGAGCAGCGAGGAGCUGCAUUGAGGACAAAUCUGUGCUGCUGCUCAAUUACUUGGUGUAACAGCAACAUCUCCCCUCAGAGAGGAGGUGGAACGGGAAGAGCUGUGCUGGGGUCCAACCAUGGGUCCAAUGCACGAGGAACUGCAUCUGGGAGGUUGGCUGUUUCUUUGGGUCAAGGCUGCUGCCUGGAGCCCGCUCCACGGCCGCCCUCUGCACAGGCCCAGCUGCCAUCGGCCCCAGGACGGUUUCAACCCGAUGGAGAUCUCUGGGCUUUGCACCACGUUCAUGGCUCACUGCACCCCAGAUUACCCCAUCCCAUCUCACUACAUCCCGGCUCUCCCCUCCAUCAUUGAGCUGUAGCAGUUCCAAAUCCCCCUAU
rnacentral:lncRNA from 1 species